UGCUACCCAUCAAAUUCUGCUACCUAGUGGUUCUGCGCAUGCGCACGUGUUCAUGCGUGGGCGCCCAUCAGUUUCUGGCGGAUGGUUCCAGAUGGAAGCGAUGGCCGACGUCGUUGCAGCUGUAUGCUGACGGCAAAGGGCCUAUCGUAGCCGCGGAUUCACCUGAUGCUACGAGGCAAAGGAGACGUGCUCUGCUACUUCAUCUUGCUGGACCAGACGUACAGGACAUCUUAUCAACUCUUCCGGACACGGUGUCCUCGGUCAUGGCUCAAUGUUGGAUACCGAGUGACUGCACCACUGGGCCGACGCUAGGUAGGCUGGUGAGGAAAGGGGAGCUUUACUUUACAGUAUGUGUGUGUUAGGGCUGCACGAUUAUUGCCAAAAGGAUUAUCACGAUUAUUUUGAUCAAUAUUGAUAUCACGAUUAUUGACCACGUUUAUUCAUUGAAAAAAAAAAAAAAUCAAAUUUCUACCACCCCCUAGUGGUAGGAGCCACACACUGUGCUCAGAAGCAGAUAGCCGCCAGGCCAAGCCCCCCCCCCCUGUGUGCAGGAUGGACUCACGCAGUCGCAGACAGGUGUACAGGGAGCGCUUGGUUUGCUUUGCAGCAGAGGUAGAGCGUAUACUGCAUGGGCGGGGCUCGUUUCUUUUUUGGUUUUCUUUUUUUUGCGGAUGCAUUACUUAAAGGCGACCUAUUAUGCUUUUUUGA